rnacentral:misc_RNA from 1 species
UACGGAGGGUACGAACGUUAAUCGGAAUUACUGGGCGUAAAGCGCGCGUAGGCGGUUCGGCAAGUGGGAUGUGAAAGCCCUGGGCUUAACCUGGGAACUGCAUUCCAAACUGUCGAGCUAGAGUAUGGUAGAGGGAGGUAGAAUUUCCUGUGUAGCGGUGAAAUGCGUAGAUAUAGGAAGGAAUACCGGUGGCGAAGGCGGCCUCCUGGACCAAUACUGACGCUGAGGUGCGAAAGCGUGGGGAGCAAACAGG